AUGUGAUAAGUAAUGUGAAUUGCAGAAUUCAGUGAAUCAUCGAAUCUUUGAACGCACCUUGCGCUCCCUGGUAUUCCGGGGAGCAUGUCUGUUUGAGUGUCAUGAACUCUUCAACCCACCGGUUUCUUGUAAACUGGCUGGUGUUUGGUUUCUGAGUGUUGCUCGUCCUUGUGACUGAGCUCAUUCGUAAUAUAUGAGCAUCUCUAAUUCGAAUUCGGAUUGACUCAGUGUAAUAGACUAUUCGCUGAGGACACACCUAGUGUGGCCGAAUAAGAUAAUUGUAGAAGCUUCUAACCCUUCUAGUCAUUUUAAGAUUAGACCUCAGAUCAGAUAGGACUACCCGCUGAACUUAA
rnacentral:misc_RNA from 1 species